ensembl:lncRNA
UGAGGAUUGGUGUUUUUGCAUAAAACUUUUUACUACUAAGUAACGUUACAAACAUAUAAAACUUUUUUACUACUAAAAAAAAAAAACGAGUAAAAGAAAAAGCCAAGUGCUGUGGAACAUGUUACUUUUUCACCCAUUGUGGUACUUUUUUUUUUUUUUUUUUAGCUCAUUUGCUGGCUUAGCAAACAUAUAUUAUAUAGUUUAAAAAAAAAAAAAAAAAAAAAAAAAAAAAAAAAAAAAAAAAAAAAAAAGUUGCUUAGAAAAAAAAAAAAAAAUUACGAAAAGGGAAUUUACAGGGUUAGGCUUAUAAACAACAUUAUAAACGAUAUAAUAAACAAAUUUAUAAAGGGGCUAAUAAACAAGCCCACAAAUAUAGAAACACGAACAUAUAUACAUAAAUACUCCUAUAGCUGUACUAACAUUUUUAAUCCCCCCAUUUUUAUGGAAAGCUAUGUCACCGAACUCUUUUUUUUUUUGUUAAAACAUUUUCUCGUAAAUUUCAAUAAGAGUAGAAAAUGUCGCUUUUACAUAUACUAUGUAAUAUAUAUUUUUUAUAUACAAAAUAUUUUAUAUGCUAAAUUAAGUGUGAGUUCAAAAAAGUGUGGUACUUUUUUAUUUAUUAAAAAAGGUUUUCAUCCUCCUAAUAUAAAAUCAACAUUUGUGUUGAAGAAUAAUGAAAAUAGUAGUCAUGAUUCUUAUUUAUCACAUUUAAAAAAAAAAAAAAAAAAAUCGCUAAUAAAAAUCGAUAAUAAAAAUAAAAUUAGGAAUGUAGUAUUUAUUGAAAGUAACAGUCAAGUAAAUGAUAAGAACAAAAUAAAUUAUAUAAAUGCAAAAUUUUACAACAAUAACAAUAAUAAUGAGAGUGAUAAUAGGAAUGGCAAUGGGAAUGGGGUUGCUAAUGGCAAUGGCAUUGACAGUAGUAAUAGCAGUAGCUAUGACAAUAACACAAGAGAUGAUAAUGAAAGUCACAAUGGAAAUUUAAAAGAUAUAAAAUUUUUAACAAAUAUGCAAAAAAAUUUAAUUUAUUUACUCGAGCGUAAUAAUAAUGUUUUAGUACACGCUAAGACGGCCAGUGGAAAAACAACGAUUAGUUUAUUAUACUUGGUCUUAAAAUUUUAUUAUAAUUAUGAAUUUAUUUUUCAGGAAGAUAUAGAUAGAGAAAAAUAUUUUCAUAAUUACAUGUAUUAUAACAAAUACAAUGACAUGCAUAAUGAAAAAAACAAAAAAAACCAAAACAUAAAAAACCAGAGCAAACUAAUGUAUCAAAACAAACUUAAGUAUAAACCAUUUAGUGAAAAAUAUGUAGAACUUUAUGAUUUAAAAGAAAAUAAAGAUUUAUUAUUUGAAAAAAAAUCAGAAUGUAUAUUAAAAAAAGGAGAAACAAUUUUGAUAUUAUGUCCUUCUAAAGAAUUAUGUGUACAAAUAGCUUAUAAUAUCUUACAUUUUAUGAAUAAUACAAAAAAAAACAUAGUUAAGUUAUUUAUUGACAAAGGGAGUGAAAUCAAAAAAAAAAAUUACAAAAAUGUAAAAAAUAGUUUGAUGAAACAUCAACAAAAAGAUGGUUUAGAUAAAACAAAUAAAAGGAUUAAACAAGGGAUGAUUCAAAAAUCGGAUAAUAUUACUAUCGCUACUGAUGUAGCUGUUAGUGUAGAUAGUAGCACUGAUGAUUCCAUUUUGGAUUCUACUUUUGAUUCUACUUUUGAUUCUACUUUUGAUUCCACUUUGGAUUCCACUUUGGAUUCUGCUAAAAGUACAAAACCAUUUGAAAUAAAUAACAUAAACAAAACAAGUAACUCGGAAAAUCCUCUUUUUCUUAUAGGCACUCCAAAGUGCUUUAAUAAUUAUAUUUUAAAUUUAAAUAAAAAUGAUUUACAAUGGAUUUUACAAAGUAUAAAAUAUAUUUUUUUUGAUGAAGUUGAUAGAUUAUUUCCGUUGUUGAAAAAACGUACAAUUAGUAAAAAAAAAAAAUUUAUAGAAGGAAAAACAAAAAAAAAUAUUGCUUAUAAAAUAUUAGAAACAUUAAUGUACUUAAACAAAAAAAACAUAAUUUUUAUUGGUUGUUCAAGUACAUUAAAUAGAAGGCUACAUAGAAAAAUUGUUAAGUUAUUAUGUAUGAAUAAGAGUAAUACAAAAAAAAAAAUUUACUUAUUGAGGGAGAAAAGUAAUUUGUCUGAUAUUGAACACGUGCAAGUUGAUACAAAACAAAUGGAUGACUAUGUGAAAAGUGAUAGUAAUAAAUCUGGUACAUGUGAAAUAGAAGAAGUUAUAGUAGCAAAAAGUCAAAGGGAUAGGACGGUUAAAAUAAACCCGUAUGUAUCCCCAGUUUCUAAUGAUAAAACAAUUAUAAUAAAUAACAUAAUAAAUGAUAUUGCAAAAGAAGAGAAUAGUAAAAUAGAUGCAGAAACGGGUGGUGAAAUAGGUGCAGAAAUAGGUGCAGAAAUAGGUGCAGAAAUAGGUGCAAAAGUAGGUGCAAAAGUAGGUGCAGAAA